rnacentral:rRNA from 1 species
CCCUUAGAUGUUCUGGGCCGCACGCGUGCUACACUGAGUAAUUCAAUGGGUAAGGGAACGCUAGAGCAUUACCUAAUCUUGAAAUUUGCUCGUGAAGGGGAUCGACGGUUGCAAUUUUCCGUCGUGAACGAGGAAUACCUUGUAGGCGCAUGUCAUCAUCAUGCGCCGAAUACGUCCCUGCCCUUUGUACACACCGCCCGUCGCUCCUACCGAUUGAGUGAUCCGGUGAGGCUCUGGGACCUGGACGGAAAGAGCGUUUCGCUUGUUCUGUUUGGGAAACUUGGUCGAACCUUAUCAUUUAGAGGAAGGAGAAGUCGUAACA